rnacentral:rRNA from 1 species
UACAGAGGUCUCAAGCGUUGCUCGGAUUCAUUGGGCGUAAAGGGUGCGUAGGUGGCGGGGUUAGUCAGGUGUGAAAUCUCGGGGCUCAACCCCGAAACUGCACUUGAUACUGCCUUGCUAGAGUACUGGAGAGGAGAUUGGAAUUUACGGUGUAGCAGUGAAAUGCGUAGAUAUCGUAAGGAAGACCAGUGGCGAAGGCGAAUCUCUGGACAGUUACUGACACUGAGGCACGAAGGCCAGGGGAGCAAACGGG